CAAGAAGCCGAAAAGGCUACUUAAAAACCAUCGCGAAACUUAUCCAAGUUGCUUCGGCGGCCGGCGGCGGCUCCCCUCACGGGGGGACCGCCAGCCCCCCGCCUCUCAGGAGGGUAAGGGGCAGCCGCGGAAGGUACGAAACUCUGUAUUAUAGUGGUAUCUCUGAGUAUAAAACAAAUAAGUUUAA
rnacentral:misc_RNA from 1 species